UGCCAGCCGCCGCGGUAAUACGAAGGUCCCAAGCGUUGUUCGGAAUAACUGGGCGUAAAGCGUGUGUAGGCGGCGUGGUAAGUCAGAUGUGAAAGCCCAAGGCUCAACCUUGGAACUGCAUUCGAUACUGCCAUGCUAGAGUAGUGGAGAGGUAAAUGGAAUUUUGGGUGUAGCAGUGAAAUGCGUAGAUAUUCAAAGGAAGACCAAUGGCGAAGGCAAUUUACUGGACACUUACUGACGCUGAGGCUCGAAGGCUAGGGGAGCGAAAGGGAUUAGAUA
rnacentral:rRNA from 1 species